UUUUUUAGAAAAUUCCAUCAGCUAGUGUCAGCUGGAGACAGUAACAAAGGGAAAGUAAUAAUUUAUUUUUUUUUAAGUUAAAUAAGCUGAGAAAAAAGAGCGGACAAAUCAAUAUGUAACAUCAAACAUGAUGGGCAAAAAAUAGAACUAUGCUUUUGUUUUUAAUUGGUGUGUCACAGUUACUCUACAACACUGCCUUUGCUGAGCAGCUGUGAAGACUUAAACCAAAGCCUUUUAGUCACAAGCAUGGAAAUGAGAAAUGAGUGCCAGUUAAGACAGCACCCUUACUUAGUGUCUCUGUUAUUACAUUUAGCAUCAUUAGGACCUUAGGUUUCAAUUCUUUAGCACCACUGUCAGAUAUAUUGUCAACACAAUUCCACAGAUCUCAGGCCACACCUAUUCCUUCCUUUCCUAAAAUCCCCAUUCAAAUUUCAUCUUGUUACAAGCUGCUGCUUUUAUCACACAAAACAUGCUCUAGAACAGCAGUACUAAAAUAAAAGGUUUGAUUUUUCCCUUCCUGCAGGAUUUCAAACACAUUAUCCAGCCCCUCUAUUCUCUUUGUAGCAGAGAGCUCCAUUUCUAAGGCAGAUUCAAACUUUCCAGUGAGAAGAAACAACUGGAGCUGAGACAGGCAAGUGGAAUUCGCACAGGCAGAUCAGCUCCAAAGGGAGCACGUGUCGCCACAAGAUGGAGCACAAAAUGCAGAGGACAUUCCCACCUCCCCUGCUCAACACCCACCCAAUCCCGAGUGCAAACAGCUGGAACCUGCCAGGCCAAACAAUAGCUGGUCUCUGCCCAAAGUAUGUGCAGCACCUGAGCCAGGGCAAACACAGAGCAGCAUCUGCCCUUCCCCACAGGUUCCAAGCACCAGCAGUGAACUGCUCGGGGCCGAACGCCAAAACCUGGCUGCUUUCACUCAGGGGUCUCAACAUUUAGAAAACUAAGAGGUUCCAGGACAUCUUGUGAAUUUCCAAGUGUAAGGAGUGAUCCUGUUCCUUCCUUAAAAUCAGAGAAACUACCACCACUAACAUCAGUUGGGAUGCAGGCUAGAUUUCAUAUCAACUCAUGUCCAGAAAAAAAGAAGACUGAGCUGGGAAAGAAAAUGCUGAAGGAAUUUGAAGAAUUCAGAACAUUGCUACAUAAAAAGCAACUUGGCACCCAGGAUUAAAUGUUUGUGCUCUCGUAACUCCUGAAUCUCACUGGAGUAAAAAUUUGCUGAGCUGUCCUGUGGAUUAAUUUCCUGCAGUAUGAACUCUGAGGAAACUCAAAGCAGAGGCUGCUGGGUUACUCCAGACACUGCCUGAGCUCCAUGGAAAAGCAGCUCCAUCUGGCUUCCUCCUAACUGCAGGAGGGUCCCAGAUUUAGACCGACACAAACCAGCAGAGAUGGCUGCCACAUCUAGAAGAUUCUGGACUCUAGAAAGUUCUGGGCGCCUCCUAGGGUGAAGCUCCAACUUGGCCAAAUGAAUUUCAGACCACUUUCUGAUGAGAGCUGGUUUUUAAGAAUGAAAAUGUUUAUUGCAUUUUGUGUAUUUACACCCAAGGAUGUGUGUCCCUGCCACACCAUCCCCCUAGAGCAGGCAGGUAUCCCAGAUAACCCAGUAUCACUCAGAGAGGAGGGCAGGCAUGGGUGUGUGCUGUGCUCACCUUAUCUCUUAGCCACAAGUGAGCCCUCCAUGCCCAGAGAAGCAAUUAAUGCAGCUUAGUCCUGCUUCCCUCUGAGUCAUGGACUACUACAGAAAUUAUGACAAAUGCACUCAAGGACACAGGGGGAAUUCCUUUUAUUUACAAAUACUGGAGAUGAAGGACCACACAGGUCCAAACUGCCAAAGCCCCUGGUGCUUGUACAAACAGGUCACUCCGACCACAGCACAAUGCUUAUGUUUGGUUUGUGGAAGGAGCAGCUGUGUACAAACUUCCAAAUCCCUGGCUGCUCUGCUCCAAACUCCAAGCUAAGGGCAAGCAAAGACUAGCCAGAGACUCCUGGGGCCACUGAACCCACACUCCUCAGCCAUUGGGCUGCUCAACUUGGGAAGUCUGGGAGGAAAGGGCAAAGCACUGGAACAGGACCUGGACUGACAGUCCCUGGAGAUCACAUCCAAAACAGGAAAAAAAGUCACCGUGACAGCAGUGAGCUUCUCCUCCUCUUCUUGCCCUGUUCAGCAGCUUACUGAUAGGCUCAUCACGGAGCCAGGAAGAUGGGAACAGCAGUGGAUCCAAAAGGAGCAUAUGUUUUGGGGGGUGAAGGGAGAAGGAGGGCAAACUAGAAAAUGUUGCCUUCCUGGUAAGAAAUUAGUUACCUUUCCCUCCUCCAGCCUUGGCAAAGGAUACCUGGGAGCUGAUAAACUGAUCAUUCUGAUAACUUCCACAAGGAAUUACACCAGCAGAUCCUUUAACAGAUAAAUGUGGUGCUAAAGGUGGGAAUUCAGCAGUUUCCCAGGGGAGCUCUUGACACCAACAGCCCUGACUGCCCUACCUCACAUGUGGCUCUUUGGGGAGGAAGAGAUUAAAAGGCUGAUUUUGGAAAGUCCUCAGGAUCUUCUCACUAGCAGGGUCUUCUGUGUCUGAGAGUACUGAAUUGCAGCCAGAGGACAUGCUCAGGGACAGAAUCCUGACACAGGUGCACCUCCUAUCAGCACAGGCUCUCCCCAGAGUCACCUGGAAUCCAGCCCCAUUCUCCUCCUCUGACAGCCUGGAUUUAUAGUUUUGCUGUCUGGGUUUUUUUAACUCUCAGUGCUCUACACAAUUUUGACAUUUCUUAGGCCUCGGGAUAAUAGGGAAAUCAAGGAACAGCAGAUUCAGCGUUAUUCCCAUUCCUUCAGUUAGUCACCUCAUCUUCAAAAAUGACACUUCAACUUUAAAUGUUUCAGCACACAUUUUCCCAUCUUUGGGGUAUGUAAAGAUGACCUAAAAACACUGACUUCUCAGAGCCCAAGAGUUUGUUAGAAGCAGAUUAGGUUUUACAGUUGGGCAGUAACCUUUCUCCUUUUAUGAGAUUAAUCUGAGCAUUGUGAAUUCCAGGGGGAAGCAAACCUCUUCUGUACUAAGGAAUUCAGCAGGCAGAAAGAAUAUACAAUAAACAAAAGCUUUGAUUUGCCCAAAAUAUUCUACCACUCCUCUCCAGAGCACAACAUAGCAACAGCACAUUGAAAAGAAGGGGGGGAGGAUUCCAACAUGAAUUCAUUUUUUUCCCCCAAGAAUGGAUCAUAACUUUUUACAUGCCACAGGAAUUCAAAGCAAGGCUUUUAUUAAGAAUUUUUCUUUGAAGUAGUUCAGAACAGGAUCUGAGUAUGUAGGUGAGGUUUAUGUUAAGCAGGGACUAGGGAUGCUUUUUUUUUUUUUUGCCUUCUGGGGCCCUGAGUUAAGCACUUUUCCCUCUAUGUGUGUAAUCACCCCAUUCAGCUGAUUGGGGCACCAAGAACAAGCAGCCAGCACAGCUGCUCAGACCUGGGCCCUCUAAAGAGCUCUCCAUCGUCACCCUGGGAUUAAAUAGAUUACUCACUGAUCUGUACUUUCAAGCCAUUUCUGCUCAGAAAACAAUCUGAUUUAGGGCUCCUUGUUGGAAUAACUACAAUGCCAAGGCUAUAGUUGCUGCAUUCCCAGAGCCCCCCAGCUUUUCCCCAUUCACAGAAGUGCCACACCCAUUCUGGAUUCCCAACAGGAAGCACAGAAAUGUUAGUAGGACCUUGGUAAUUAUCCUGGCACAAACUUUUAGCAAUACAUUUCCUACAAACACUGUGAUUUAGCAUAUGAUUUUCUCAUCAUUCAGUGUAAAACAGAAACCAGAAACAAAAGCACAAUUAAAAGGAUGGUGAGAAAAGAAAGCCAUUCUAGACAAAGGUGAUUGUUCAGAAUGUUUG